rnacentral:rRNA from 1 species
UACGGGGGGAGCAAGCGUUGUUCGGAUUUACUGGGCGUAAAGGGCGCGUAGGCGGUAGCACAAGUCAGUUGUGAAAUCUCCGGGCUUAACUCGGAAAGGUCAACUGAUACUGUGCGACUAGAGUGCAGAAGGGGCAACUGGAAUUCUCGGUGUAGCGGUGAAAUGCGUAGAUAUCGAGAGGAACACCUGCGGCGAAGGCGGGUUGCUGGGCUGACACUGACGCUGAGACGCGAAAGCGUGGGGAGCGAACAGG